rnacentral:sRNA from 1 species
AGAAAAGUAGGUGCCGCCCCGCACAGGGGCGACGCUAAUAGACCGACGUGAAAACAAGUUCAGCGAGAGACGCGGAUCACAGACAUAAAACCCACGCCCCUGGCGCUC